CGUAGGUGCGAGCGUUAAUCGGAAUUACUGGCGUAAAGCGAGCGCAGGCGGUUCUGCAAGUCAGAUGUGAAAUCCCCGGGCUCAACCUGGGAACUGCGUUUGAAACUACAGAGCUAGAGUAUGGGAGAGGGAGGUAGAAUUCCACGUGUAGCAGUGAAAUGCGUAGAGAUGUGGAGGAAUACCAAUGGCGAAGGCAGCCUCCUGGCCUAAUACUGACGCUCAUGCUCGAAAGCGUGGGAGCAAACAGGAUU
rnacentral:rRNA from 1 species